UCCGAUAUGGUGUAGUGGCCAACAUGAUGCCCUCUCAAUUCUUUGUCAGGUUAGGCAUAGCCCCGAGUUCGAUUCUCGGUUUCGGAA
rnacentral:tRNA from 1 species